rnacentral:rRNA from 1 species
AUUGAACGCUGGCGGCAGGCCUAACACAUGCAAGUCGAGUGGAUGAAGGGAGCUUGCUCCUGGAUUCAGCGGCGGACGGGUGAGUAAUGCCUAGGAAUCUGCCUGGUAGUGGGGGAUAACGUCCGGAAACGGGCGCUAAUACCGCAUACGUCCUGAGGGAGAAAGAGGGGGAUCUUCGGACCUCACGCUAUCAGAUGAGCCUAGGUCGGAUUAGCUAGUUGGUGGGGUAAAGGCCUACCAAGGCGACGAUCCGUAACUGGUCUGAGAGGAUGAUCAGUCACACUGGAACUGAGACACGGUCCAGACUCCUACGGGAGGCAGCAGUGGGGAAUAUUGGACAAUGGGCGAAAGCCUGAUCCAGCCAUGCCGAGUGUGUGAAGAAGGUCUUCGGAUUGUAAAGCACUUUAAGUUGGGAGGAAGGGCAGUAAGUUAAUACCUUGCUGUUUUGACGUUACCAACAGAAUAAGCACCGGCUAACUUCGUG